CAAAAAAUAAGGAAUGUCACACACCUAUUACGGGCACUCUCUGUGUCUCAACAACAGCCUUACAAGACUACCAGUCAUCUGUGAGAUACGCAGUAAGUAAUUUUGUUUAAAUGUCUUAUUUCUCUACAAGAACAAUGCACUAAGUGUGUGUGUGUGUGUGUGUGCUGUAUGUACAUAUGGGAUGCACCAACAUAUCAGCCAAUAAUCUGUUUCGGUCAAUAAAAGCAAUUAUCUGCACUAUCAGAUUGUUUAAAAACAGCCGAUGAUCAGGGCUGAUGAUAUCCUGUCAAUCAAAAGGGCACAAAAAUUCACUUCAAAUAAUAAGGUUGCACUAUAAAUAAUCCUUAUCCGUCAGUUUGACUGAAUGAGCUUUAAUUUUUCCUUCAUGUUUUAUUUUUAGAUAUUGUUACAAAGGAGGCUCCCGUGCUGCCUCCUUCCCACCACCAGAGGGAACUCUCACCUGAAUAUUGACUGUACCCAUUGAACUCCAUUUCCCAUCCUGCCUCAUCCCAGGGACUAAUUACACACACACCUGCAGCCAAUAGACACACACACAUAUAAGCAGCUCACUCACUCCUACACACCGCGAAGUCUUGAUUUGCCCUGGCUGUCACUACUGAGCGUUUGUAUACUUUGAUUCUGCCUUCUUGUUUUGACCUGGACUGUUUAACGUUUAUCGAUUGUUCUCUGCCUGCCCUGACUCGGAUUGACCUGUUCCUGUGAUUGUUUGCUAUCUACCCUGAUCUUGUGCCUGUACCUGGUUCUGUCUCAGCCUUGCCUUCUCCAUUGUAUCUACUGGUGAUUGACCCUGUCUUGUCUGACUAUCCGAAUAAAGCUGCAAAUGGAUCCCGCCUCUGCUGAUGCUUCACAACACGCCAUCGACUUCAUCACUGAUCUUCCCAACUCACAAGGUAAUACUACUAUACUCACUAUUAUCGAUCGAUUUUCCAAAGCCUGCCGUCUAAUUCCCCUGCCGAAACUUCCCACCUCCUUUGAAACAGCUGAACUAAUGUGCAAUUAUGUAUUUCGUUUCUACGGUUUACCUGAGGACAUUGUCUCGGACCGGGGUCCUCAGUUCACCUCAAGAGUAUGGACUGCCUUCUUCAAACAUCUGAACGUGAACAUCAGCCUCACAUCUGGCUACCAUCCUCAGUCCAACGGACAGACUGAACGCCUGAAUCAGGAAAUUAUUCGGUUCCUACGAUCCUAUUGCCAACAACGACAGGCGGACUGGAGCAGGUACUUAUUUUGGGCGGAGUAUGCACAGAAUUCUCUCAUGAAACCAGCCACGGGGGAGACCCCCUUUAAAUGCGUGCUGGGGUUCCAACCACCCUUGUUCCCCUGGGCUGGCGAGCCCACCGACCUCCCCUCAGUCACAGAUUGGUUGCAACGCAGUGAGGAGGUCUGGGACCGAGCUCAUACCCACUUACUUCAUGCAGUAAGAAGACAGGAACAGCAGGCUAACCGACACCGACGCCUCAGCCCCGCAUACAUCCCAGGGCAGUGGGUCUGGCUCUCCACUAAAGAUCUACGCCUCAGACUGCCAUGCAAAAAACUCAGUCCCAGUCCGGGAGGAGAGCUGGAGGAGGGAGCCAGACUGCAGAAUCCCCCGCCUAUUCUGGUGGACGGCGAGGAGGCGUAUCGAGUGCACAAGUUGCUUGACUCCAGGCGCCGGGGUGGCACUCUCCAGUAUCUGGCCGAUUGGGAGGGGUACGGACCGGAGGAGCGUUCUUGGGUCAGAGCUGGAGAUAUCCUCGACCCCACACUCACAGAGGAGUUUCAUCGGACGCAUCCGGAAAAACCGGCCCCUCGACCUCGUGGUAGACCCCGGCGUCGUUUGCUUCCUCGCGUCAGGAGCCGCUCGCAGGGGGAGGGCUUUGUUACAAAGGAGGCUCCCGUGCUGCCUCCUUCCCACCACCAGAGGGAACUCUCACCUGAAUAUUGACUGUACCCAUUGAACUCCAUUUCCCAUCCUGCCUCAUCCCAGGGACUAAUUACACACACACCUGCAGCCAAUAGACACACACACAUAUAAGCAGCUCACUCACUCCUACACACCGCGAAGUCUUGAUUUGCCCUGGCUGUCACUACUGAGCGUUUGUAUACUUUGAUUCUGCCUUCUUGUUUUGACCUGGACUGUUUAACGUUUAUCGAUUGUUCUCUGCCUGCCCUGACUCGGAUUGACCUGUUCCUGUGAUUGUUUGCUAUCUACCCUGAUCUUGUGCCUGUACCUGGUUCUGUCUCAGCCUUGCCUUCUCCAUUGUAUCUACUGGUGAUUGACCCUGUCUUGUCUGACUAUCCGAAUAAAGCUGCAAAUGGAUCCCGCCUCUGCUGAUGC
ensembl:lncRNA